rnacentral:rRNA from 1 species
UACGGAGGGUGCAAGCGUUAUCCGGAUUCACUGGGUUUAAAGGGUGCGUAGGUGGGUCUGUAAGUCAGUGGUGAAAUCUCCGGGCUUAACUCGGAAACUGCCAUUGAUACUAUAGAUCUUGAAUUAUCUGGAGGUGAGCGGAAUAUGUCAUGUAGCGGUGAAAUGCUUAGAUAUGACAUAGAACACCAAUUGCGAAGGCAGCUCACUACGGAUACAUUGACACUGAGGCACGAAAAGCGUGGGGGAUCAAACAGGG